AGUUAACGCUGGCGGUAGGCCUAACACAUGCAAGUCGAACGGCAGCACAGUAAGAGCUUGCUCUUACGGGUGGCGAGUGGCGGACGGGUGAGGAAUACAUCGGAAUCUACUUUUUCGUGGGGGAUAACGUAGGGAAACUUACGCUAAUACCGCAUACGACCUACGGGUGAAAGCAGGGGAUCUUCGGACCUUGCGCGAUUGAAUGAGCCGAUGUCGGAUUAGCUAGUUGGCGGGGUAAAGGCCCACCAAGGCGACGAUCCGUAGCUGGUCUGAGAGGAUGAUCAGCCACACUGGAACUGAGACACGGUCCAGACUCCUACGGGAGGCAGCAGUGGGGAAUAUUGGACAAUGGGCGCAAGCCUGAUCCAGCCAUACCGCGUGGGUGAAGAAGGCCUUCGGGUUGUAAAGCCCUUUUGUUGGGAAAGAAAAGCAGCAGGUUAAUACCCCGCUGUUCUGACGGUACCCAAAGAAUAAGCAUCGGCUAACUUCGUG
rnacentral:rRNA from 1 species